rnacentral:misc_RNA from 1 species
GAAAUGCGAUACUUGGUGUGAAUUGCAGAAUUCAGUGAAUCAUCGAAUCUUUGAACGCACAUUGCGCCCGCUAGUACUCUAGCGGGCAUGCCUGUUCGAGCGUCAUUUCAACCCUCAAGCCGUGCUUGGUGUUGGGGCCCUACGGCCGCCGUAGGCCCUGAAAUGAAGUGGCGGGCUCGCUACAACUCCGAGCGUAGUAGAAUCCUAUCUCGCUAGGGAGGUUGCGGCGCGCUCCCGCCGUUAAAGACCCCAUCUUUAACCAAGGUUGACCUCGGAUCAGGUAGGAAUACCCGCUGAACUUAA